rnacentral:rRNA from 1 species
UAAUAAUUAAUUUACUUUAUUUAUUAUAUUUUUUAUUUUUAUAGAAAUAACUUUAUUUUUAGUAAAUUUUUUUGAAAUAAUUAUUUUAGUGGUAGAAAAUUGUACCGUAUGGGUUUAUUUAUAAUUAAGUAUAAGUAGUUUUAUUUUAAUGUACCUUUUGUAUCAGGGUUGAUUAAUUAUUUCUAAUUAUUUAGUUUUCCCGAAAUUAGGGGAGAUAUUAUUAUAUGUUAGUUAAUGUGUUAUAAUUAUUAAUAAUAUAAUAAUAGUAAUGAAAAGUUAUUCGUCUCUAAAUAUCUGGUUUUCUGGGAAUUGAAUUUAAUUCAGAGUUAUUAAUUUAUUUUUUAAUUUUAAUUAAGGAAUAAUUUAUAUCUUAAGAUUUUUGGGGAUAAGCUCAGGAUUUAAUUUAUAAUCUAAUUAAUAUUUUAGUUUAUGUAGGCUUGGAAUCAGUCAUCAUUAAUUUCGUUAUAGAUUAUACUUUAUUUUUAUUUAUUUUAUUAGAUUUAAUUUUUUACUGGAAUUAAACAUUAAAUUUAGGAAUGUUUGUAAUAAUGAUUGAAUUAGUAUAUUUGUGAAUUAAAUUAUAGUAAUUCGGCAAAUUUUGUGUUCGCCUGUUUAACAAAAACAUGUCCUUUUGAAUUUUAUUUAAGGUUUAACCUGCCCAAUGAGUGUUUUAAUGGCCGCGGUAUAUUAACCGUGCUAAGGUAGCAUAAUCAUUUGUCUUUUAAUUGAGGGCUUGUAUGAAGGGUUGGACGAGGCACAUGCUUUCUUUAUUUUAAUUUUAAAAUUUAUUUUUUUAGUUAAAAAACUAAAAUUUAUCUGUGGGACGAGAAGACCCUAUAGAUCUUUAUAAUUUAAAGUAAUUAUUCUUUUUGGUUUAUUAAAAAUUAUAAUUAUUUUAAUUUAUUUGAUUGGGGUGAUUGCAGAAUAAAAAUAACUUCUGUUUUAUAUUUUCAUGAAUUAGUGUUCUAAUGAUCCAUUUGUAUUGAUUAUAAGAUUAAGUUACCUUAGGGAUAACAGCGUAAUUUUUUCGGAGAGUUCAUAUCGAUGAAGGAGUUUGCGACCUCGAUGUUGGAUUAAAAUAAGUAUUAGGUGUAGCAAUUUAAUUACUAGGUCUGUUCGACCUUUAAUAUUUUACAUGAUCUGAGUUCAGACCGGCGUAAGCCAGGUCAGUUUCUAUCUUCAGUUUAAUUAAUUAUGUUUUAGUACGAAAGGACCAAAUAUAAGGAAUAUUUUUUAUUUAUUUGAUUAAUAAU